UUGAUUGGACAAGGUAUGCUAUGACGGACAUUUACAUACCUGGUUGUAGUCGAACCAAAUUGUUAUAUUUUUAAAAUCAAUUGGUCCCCUUCAACCAGCUAUGUUUCUCCUCCUGUAAACAUCUAGUUAA